GGGGCUGUAGUCUAGCAGCAGUCACACCCAGCGUGGGCUGCUAGAACGGCAUGACGACUGUUCAAGCGGCCUAGAGCCGUUGGCCGUUAAGGGCUCCAGACCCGUAGGUCGCCGGUUCAAAUCCGGCCAGCCCCACCA
rnacentral:tRNA from 1 species